GACAGACUGCACUCCUGAUGUUCAGUUGACUUUAGCUCUUGGUAUGGAUGGUAAAAAUGAAGUGGAUUUUUCCAAUAACAACAUCGCACCGUUGUGGAGGAGAAGGUCUGCUCACCAAGUCCAUUUGCAUACAAAGAACAAGCCUAGGCCCCAGUCCUACCAGAGUUCCACUGGAGUCCUCUUCACAGAUUUUCCUGUAGAAGAUAGAGACACGUUCACUUUAACUCAGCCUGCUGAAACAAUAAUUACUUCUCCGGACAGUACACCCAUUCAAAGGAGUCCUCUACCUUUUGGCUGCAGCCUUGGCUCUGUGCCAAAUGGCAAGGUUCAAUUUCCAGAAUGUAAAACUUUCUCCCCAAGGCAUUGUGAGCAAUCACCUCAAGCAUUGAAAAUGGUUUCAAAUAAGUCUAUACCUUUUACAGCCAAUGGUUCAGCAGGCAGUAAGCUGGUUAACCGAGGGAGGGUUUGCAAUCAAACAGCACAGACUCCAGAACAGACUGAAACUGCUUUUACAUCAAGUCUUGGAUUGUCACUUACAGAAGUCAUGUAUUCACCAAAUAACAACACAAUGGCUGCAUUAGUGUUACAACCUAGCCAACUUUCUAAAAACUCAGAGAAGACAUCUGCCUGCCUACCUGCUCCCUUGGAACAACAGCAUCUGCCUCUCCAAAGAAUACCAUCAAAUCAGAAUGAGAUCAUAGAAACACCACCUGUUGUGCUGAGUACAAAUAGUCCUGUUGCUUUAAAAGUGGGGAAGCAGCAGAUCAUCCCUAAGAGUUUAGCUUCUGAAAUAAAAAUAACCAGCAAAGCCAAUAAUCAAAAUGUGGAACCGAGCAAAAGGGUUCUGAAGGUCCGUAGUAUGGUGGAGGCCCUUGGUGUGCCUUUGGUAGCUGGUGGAGAUGAAGAGACAGAAGGUGAUGUGGAAAGCCCAGGGAUGCUGAGACGUAGUUUGCGGUCCACUUCAUACCGGCGAGCUGUUGUGAGUGGAGUUGAUUUUGAUAGUACUGCCAACUUUAAAAUGAAAAACAGGAUGUCUCAGCCAGUGCUGAAGGCAGUUGUAGAAGACAAGGAGAAAUUCUCCAGUUUAGGAAGAAUAAAGAAGAAAAUGCUGAAAGGACAAGGGACCUUUGAUGGAGAAGAAAAUGCUGUGUUAUAUCAGAACUACAAGGAAAAAGCUCUGGAUAUAGAUUCUGAUGAAGAGUUAGAAUUGAAAGAACAUAAGUCAAAUGAGAAGAUCAUUAUUGAAUAUAAACCUCUGAGAUCAACAUGGAGUCAGUUGUCUGCAGUGAAGAGAAAUGGCUUAUCCCAGACCAUCAGCCAAGAAGAAAGAAAAAGGCAAGAGGCUAUAUUUGAAGUAAUAUCUUCAGAACAUUCAUACUUACUUAGUCUGGAGAUUCUGAUUCGGAUGUUUAAAAACUCUAAGGAAUUAGCUUCUACGAUGACAAAGACAGAAAGCCAUCACCUCUUUUCCAAUAUUGUGGAUGUCUGUGAAGCAAGUAAGAAGUUCUUUAGAGAGCUUGAAGCAAGACAUCAGAACAAUAUAUUCAUAGAUGACAUCAGUGAUAUUGUAGAAAAACAUACUACAUCAACCUUUGAUCCUUAUGUGAAGUAUUGUACAAAUGAAGUCUACCAACAGCGAACACUCCAGAAAUUACUAACUACUAAUCCAGGCUUCAAGGAAGUGCUGUCGCGGAUUGAGUCCCAAGAAGCAUGUAAGAAUUUACCUAUGAUUUCUUUCCUUAUUCUCCCAAUGCAAAGGGUUACACGACUUCCACUGCUGAUGGAUACUAUUUGCCAGAAAACACCCAAAGACUCACCAAAAUAUGAAGUUUGCAAACGAGCUUUAAAAGAAGUUAGCAAGUUGGUUCGCCUCUGCAAUGAAGGUGCUCGAAAAAUGGAAAGGACUGAAAUGAUGUACACUAUCAACUCCCAGCUGGAAUUCAAAAUCAAGCCAUUUCCGUUGGUUUCCUCUUCUCGAUGGCUAGUGAAGCGUGGUGAAUUAACAGCCUAUGUGGAAGACACAGGACUUUUCUCUAAAAGAACCUCUAAGCAACAAGUUUACUUCUUCCUCUUUAAUGAUGUGCUCAUUAUCACAAAAAAGAAAAGUGAAGAGAGCUACAAUGUCACAGACUAUUCCUUAAGGGAUCAGCUGUUAGUUGAACAGUGCGACAGCGAAGAACUACAUUCCUCUCCUAUAAAAAACAGCACACCUAUUCUUUACUCUCGGCAGAGUUCUGCAAAUCAUCUCUUCAGAUUAAAUGUCCUAAGUAACCAUGCAGGAGAGAAGAUUGAACUACUGCUGGGAACUGAAACUCAGAAUGAACGGGCUCGCUGGAUUACUGCACUUGGGCAGAGCAAUGAUAGACUGACUAUGGAUAGGACAACGCUGACCCAAGUAGAAGUCAUCAGAUCAUAUACUUCCAAGCAGUCAGAUGAACUCUCCCUUCAAGUAGCUGACGUAGUUCUCGUCUAUCAGAAAGUGAAUGAUGGUUGGUAUGAAGGAGAGCGAUUGCGCGAUGGAGAAAGAGGCUGGUUCCCAAGGGAAUGUGCCAAGGAGAUCACCUGUCAAGCCACCAUUGAGAAGAAUAUGGAAAGGAUGGGACGCUUGCUAGGCUUGGAAACAAAUGUAUAGACUCGUGCUCCAUUAUGCAUACUCUAGGGAUUUGCACCCAGUGAAGUCUGCAACAUCUUGAUCUCCUCCAGAUGGUGAAUUACAGAGAAUCAGUGGGGAAAACAGAACCAUGAGAAUCAAAGGAAUACCACCCUAAAGAGUCACAGCCUCUGAAGAAAGUGUGUGUAUGGGGUGGUGGUUGUGGACAGCAAUGAGGGACAGUAAAGAAUCAACACCAAGGUGUAUUUAAAAGGAAGUAAACAAAGAUUAACUCACACUACUGGUCCGCAUUUUCAAAUGGUAAACAAGCCAGCUGUAAUGGAAUUCUGUCUCCUCAACGUUCACAGAUUUGGGAUGAAUGUUAACUGUUCGAUCUGUUUUAGUGGAUACUUUAACCCUUAAAAUAUAGAGAAGUGUCAGAAUUCAGGUACAAGUAAAUUAGAUACAGAAGAGGUGAAAGAUGUAAGCUUGUCUUGAACUCAUUGGGGUUCCAUGGGUGCUAUUUCCCUCCACUUCCUUCCCACAUCCUCCAAUGCUACUCUGGGUUUUGUGGGGGCAAUGUCCUGAACUGCACAGAAACUUCACAUGGAUGGACAGAAAGUUGCCAGCCCCCUCUCUUCUGCCAGUGGGAAGUUUCCAAUAGAUGAAGGCUCCAUAAACAUAAGCCGCCUUCUGUUUACAGAGGAGCAAAGUCUAGAUCUAAUCUAGAACAUGUUGCUGCAAUCCAUGUGUUAAAAGCCAUCCUCUAAAUUAGAUAUUACACGUGAAAGAACAAAAUACAAAUGAAAGACAUAUUUUAAACAGUUUCUUUCAAAGUUCCCAAAUGCAAACCAAUAGCAACAAAAUGAUUUUGUGAAGAUGUCCAUUAGAAAACACUUUUGAACUCUCUUGUACACACACAUUUGAUUUUCCUUUUUGCUUGAAAUGAGGAAAAUAAUAAUGGCAAUCCCAACAAUGCAAUGGAGAUAAUAUUGGACUAUGUUACCUAUACAGUUGGCUCCCCACUUUUGCGGAUUUAACAUUCAUAGACUUGAUUAUUUGUGGGUUUGUCCAGGGCAUGGCUGGGAAGACCAAGCACAUGCUCCUCCUCCUCUUCCUCCCAGGUUUUUCCCCUCAGGGAAAAAGCCCAGGAGGGAGGGAGCAGCCAGGAAGGGUGCAUGCAUACCCCUCCCGCCUUCCCCCAUGUUUUGAACAGCUGACGGAAGCCAGCCAAAGCACGGGGAAAGAUGGGAGUGGUGUGUGUGCAUGAGGGGUAAGAGGAGCACAUACACAUGCCCCUCCCACCUUCCCUCACAUAUUCAUGUUUUUUUCCACUUUUGCAGGGGUCUUGCGCCUUUAAACCCUGUGAAUGUGGAGCGCAGACUGUAUAAGCAUAUUAUCCGUUAUUCAGAUUUUUGUUUAGAAAUUUAGUGCACUUUCAACAGAGGAAAACAAUACAAAGCAUAAUGAAAAGCUAUUUUCUUCCAUUAUGCUUACUUUUAUUCAACACCAUCCAGAUAAAAUAUAGUUAGUGUUAUUUUUUAUUAACCCUCCAUCAGGUAAUAUACAGGUAUCUUCUGAUUGUGGAAAGGGAAGAACAGAAGCUUUUCUGCAGCUCCCUCUGCUGGCAAAAGGAUACUACUGCAACUGCUCAAUUAAAAAGUCUAUUUUAUUUGUACCUAUCUGAAGACCCAAUCAUUUUCAAUCAUGAUAGAAAUGACUUACAAUGGCUUUCAAAAAUAUUAUAUUAGAUUUUUUUUAAUGAUAAAGGACCAGACCAUGUCCUUGGAGUGGUUUCUGAUUGCUCUGGAGUGUGUAUUAUUUGAAUCCUAUUCCGCCACAGUGGUCAGAAGCCAUUUUAUUUGGCCCAUGUAUUUCAGGCCCAAGACUAUCUUUUUUGCCUCACAAAUGCUUUUCUACUGAACUGAAACUUUUUGAACUUAAUUUUCUUUCCUCAACCAUCUCAAAUGGUCUUUGCACAAACUAAAUUUCAGCAGGUAAGCUCACUCAAACAUUUGCUUCUGACAAUAGUCAGUACACAAUAUACUGAAAACUAUUUGCUGCAUUUUCAUAUUUUGUGACCUGUACAUUAUAUCAUAACACCAAAAUCUCCAUAUAUUCUCAGUAAAGAAUCUGAGCAUAAAUUAUCAAAAGCCUUACAUUUUCCUCUUUUUGUUGAAGUUUGCUCGAAUUUUUGCAACCUUUGGAUACAAGCCAGCACAGAUAACAGCUUUCAAUACCUUCUCAUUGUCUGGAAAAGAAGACAGAAUUCACUGAAGGAGUGAAGUGCAGCAGAAUUAAUAAUUGGAGAACUGAGUAGACCUACUUCAUUGCUCCUUUUUUCAGAAUUUACCUGAGUUAAUGUUGGAUUUGGGAUCUCUGGGACUUCUGCUAUUUACAAACCCAGCUGCAAGAAGAUGCUCAGCAAACUGCCCUUUCAUGUUACUAAGCAUCUAAAAGAACAAAACAAAUUCACCAAUAAGAUCUUACAGCUCUGUCCAAAAAGUUUCAAAAACACAAUUUUUAAAAAACCAGAGACAAAAUAUUACCUGCAAAGUAUUUGGAGAAAGAAAAUACUCCCAGCAAUAAUCCUUCUCACACCUGAAGCCACGUCGUCGAGCUUCUUCCCAACCCUGAAAACACAGUAUGUUUAGUAUUAAUCCAGUUAAAUAAUAUAAAGUCCUUUAUUACAUUUCUUUUAUUCCAUUAUAUGGAAAAGAGUAAGCUCCAUAUUGAUGUAAAAUUUCUGGGAAUUUUGAAACCAUUUUGGGAAGGGAGAACAAUUUUUUCUCCUAGAAAAGGAAACUUUCAGAAAACUCAGGGGGAAAGCAUGGUAUUUGUGUACUUGACAGAUUGAGUUGCUUUUAGAAACAUAAGAUGUAUCAUAUACCUAAUGAUUCUAUUACACAAUUGUAUUUAGCAUGAAAUUGUGUUUGGUGUAUUAAACUACUGAACUUUUAUUCAAUCUGUUAGUAGUAACAAAGUGAAUUCAUUUUUUAAAAAUGUUUGUUUUGUACAUGCUGCAAAGUCCUAAACUGAAAGGAACGUCUUUGGUUUGUUCACUUUAUUAAAAACAUGACUCCUCUUUUCAAACACACACACAAAAUAUAGAAGAAACUAUCAACAUAAAACAGAGAAAAUCAUUUCAUCUCUUCUAGUCUUCUAUAAUGUCAAGGAGACAUAAACAAUUUAUCUGCAUAAACAGAAACAAAAGAAACCAAGAAGAGCAAGUGCAAUUUUCAGAUACUUUAAGAUGUGCCCUGUCUUAAAUAAGACUUUUUGUUAUACAGCUUUCAGAAACAAUUUUAGGAAAGCAAAUAUAUAUGAACACCUCGUUUAACAAUUGAUUAAUCAUUCCAAAAGAAAAUAUUCUAAAGUCAAUUUUCCUUUCUUUCAAUUUUUCCAGAAAGCAGGCUUUGGGAAAUAUUACAUAUAUAAAAAAUGGGGCAGAGGGGUUCUGAAUUAUACUAUCCCCUGCCUGCCUCUCAGGCUUUCACAUCUCUAAAGUUCCACAAUGGCAAAAUCAAUUGUAGCACUGAAAAACAAAGAGAGUCACUAGACAAAUUUAAAGUUGGAAGAGACACAUAUACAAAAUGAAAUCAGUAAUUAUUUAGGGCAAAUCACAGUAGAAAUUGGCAUAAUAAUUCUUGGAAUAUAAAAAUAAACUAUUUAUAGAAAAGAACUAUUAAGUUCAUCUCCAUUAGUAAAACAAGAAGAGACUGAACUAAUAAUCAUCCUCAAGAAUUCAUCUGUAUACAGUAGACCCUUGUUAUAUGCUGGGGUUUGGUUCCAAGAUUCUCUGUAGAUAACAAAAUCCGU